rnacentral:lncRNA from 1 species
UAAUUUUUGCAAAGAAAGACCUGGGGUGUUUUUAUGUACAAACUAUUGUAUUUGAUAGUGGAAAUUAAGGCUAGAAACAAUAUUCCUAGGGAAACAUGCAAAAAUACGUUGAGUAACAUAAUGUGACAUUUGAGAUGCCAGUGAUAGUUAUCUACUAUAAAAUAGGUCCCACAUAGCUGCCAGAGUAUAAAAAUAACAAAACAGAAUCCCUUAAAACGUUACAUAAUUCAGAAUAACUGUUAUUUUCCCUAAUGAGCUAGAACUUUACCCAUAUAUUUUUUUCUGCAAAUGUAUAUAUCUAUUUCACCCAAACUCCUAUGACGAUAUAGACCAUUAUUAUCACAUUAUCAUCCUACGCCUUCCAAAAAACUCCACUGAAUAUCCUGUCCCCAUCUGCCAUGGCAACAAAAAUACCCCUAUGGCACUAGGGCAAAGUGAGUAAAUGUGAAGAAAUUGUUUAAAUAAGUUGGAAGGGUAUUUGUUAUGAAAAAACUCUGUAGCAAGGUAGUCCAGGUCUGGUGUGGUGGCUGUUUUCCAGAGACCUCAGUAACCCAAGAUUCUUCCACCUUUACUGUUCCCAUCUGGAGGGUAUGGCCCUUAUCUUCAUAAUCCAAGUUGGAACUGUGGAUAUCACAGUCCAGUUGGCAGGCUGGAGGGAGACACAAAAGACAUUGACAAGCUGAAUGAUGAGAUUUCUUAGAAUCUGCUAAAAUUUCCCUGGACAGAACUUAGUUAUGUGCCUUGGGUGUUACCUGUCUUCAAGGAAGGCAGGGUACUUAAGUGUCCAUGUGUCCAGCUAAAAAUGGGGUUCCAAUUGGGACAAAUUGGAAAUUAGGGUGGGCUGCUUAACUACUUCCAUGCUUCCCUUGAUUUCACAUUAUCCUCCAGCCAUUGUCCUGUUUCUCUGCUGCUUGUUAGAAUUGAUACUUCUUGAAAGAGUUAUCUACUCAUAACAUUCUAUUAUACUUCCCAAAUUGCCUUGUUUUUUCAACUCACUCCAGCUUCUGCACUCACUCUUCCAUGUAAAUGGCUAUCAAGGGUACCCAUGAUCUGUUUCAAAAUGUAAGAGAUACUUUAAAGUUCUCAUCUUAUUUGGUUUCUCAUCAGCAUUCAAUUCUUUUCCUUUUCUUGAGAUUCCCUGUAAAAGGAACAGCCUCGAGUUUUUCAUUUGUCGUCUAUGACUUUGUUGUUGUCUACCACCAUUCUGGAAGCUCGUUCCCUGUCAUUUUUCUAGCAUUUCCUGUUCUGUGCAGUGUCUAAAUGUUGGAAUUUUUUAAGGUUUAGUUUUUAUUGUGGUAGCAUAUACAUAACAUGAAAUUUACCAUUUUAACCAUUUUAAAGUGUACAUUUCAGUGGCAUUGAGUAUAUUCACAUUGUUGUGCAACCAUCAUCACCAUCCAUCUCCAGAACUUUUUCAUUAUCCACAACUGAAAUUCCAUACCCAUUUAACAAUAAUCACCCAUUUCUCCCUCCUCCCAGUCCCUAGCAACCACCAUUCUACUUUCUUCUCUCUCAUUCAGACUUACUGGAGUAAGUCUCUCAGUAGAUUUACUUUUUAAAUUCUAUUCACUAUUAUAUACCUAAUGCUUAACAUAAGGACGGGCACUUAUUUAGUAUGCAGUAGAUGUUUGUGAAUUGAGUGAAUGCUAAUCUCCCUGGCAUGUUUUGUGUUACCCCAUUUGAUGGAACCAUGCUUCAUAUUGCAGCUUAGAAAAGGUAGCCUUUUCUGAUUAUUAGACUAGUUGGGGUCUGUAUGUCAGAUGAUAUCAUUGCACUUUGUAAAUUUUUCAUGACACUUAACUUUGUAAUUAUAUAUCGGCAAGUGGUGUUUGACAGUUUGUUUCCCUGUAUGUACUAUAAGCCUCACAAGAGCAGGGACCAAGGCUGUCUUGGCCACCAUCCUUUCCCCGGUGGGAAAUAUAGUCUCACACUCACCUUGUUUUAUAAAUGAAUGCUCAGUGAUAAAAAUAAACCUCUUUAACUGGUUACAUUUCCUAAUACCUGAAAACUGUAUGCCAUUUUAUUCUUUGUGACUAGGUGUUGGAAAUUGAGGUUAUAUUGAGGGAAUUUGAAUUUCUUGAAACCAGAGUUUGGAAAGUUUAGUGGUUUUUAAUUGGAUCCUCUUUAAAUGUUGAGAAGCUAAAGAUUCACCAGGGGAAAGCCAUUUUGAAACUUUUACUAUAAGAAUCACAUGAAGAGGUCUGAUAUAUUGCCAAAUCUAAUUCUGCACUGUUGCAGAUGAAUGCAAUCUUAGGACAUCUGUGUGUUUGUCUUUCUAGCUCUCCCUUGUGACAUCAUUAGUGCACUUAAGCCUCCAGAGUAGCUUCUUUGGAAAUUUUCAUUACCAAUUAAACUCAUUUUUGAAAUGUAUAAAUUCUUUGAAUAUUACUAAUAACUUUUUAUAGGCUCCACAUUUUUUUCCUAUAUCAGGAAGAUUUAAAAUUACUUUUGCAGAAACAUACAUGUAGAGUGCAGUAGGUAUUUUCUACCAUGCUGUACCAAAUUCAAUAGGGUAACAAUUUUUCUGGCAUCCUCUGGGAAGGAAUCAGUUCCAAUAUUUAUUCAGGAAGUAUUAUUGAAUUCCUACCAUGUGCAAGGGGAUUUACAUAUAACCCUUGCCUUAGGCUUAAUUGGACUCAGUUUUCUAGCAGCCUUUAGCCCUGUGCCUCCCCACCAAAUGCUUUAGCCUGUAAGACAGGUGCUGGACUAUAAAGCUGUCUGUUCCUUCUUCCUAAGAUCAAAAUCCAGCUAGUUAUAAAAUGCCGUGGAGCACAAGCUUUUAUGAUUCUGGUAGUAGCACCAUCUACUCACUUUGAGUAUUACCACAUUCUUGUUAUUUUUUUCAUUUUUAUUUUUUGUGAUUGAGUCUCCCUGUGUCACACAGGCUGGAGUGCAGUGGCACGAUCUUAGCUCACUGCAACCUCCACCCCCUGGGUUCAAGCGAUUCUCCUGCCUCAGCUUCCCCGAGUAGCUGGGACUACAGGUGUGUGCUACCACGCCCAGCUUUUUUUUUUUUUUUGUAUUUUUAGUAGAGACGAGGUUUCACCAUGUUGAGCUAGGCUGGUCUCGAACUCUUGACCUCAGGUGAUCCGUCUGCCUUGGCCUCCCAAAGUGCUGGGAUUACAGGUAUGAGCCACCAUGCCCAGCCUAUUUUUCUUUUAAUCUAUCUCAGGUAAACACUCAAGCUAAUAGCUUGCUGGUUGUAUUUGUCAUACAAGUUAUGUUCACUGUAGGCCAUAUUGUGUUUGUCUGAAUAAUGGUUUUGAAAUAAAUCAUUUAGCUACCAACAUUUUAGAAUUAAGGAGAUUUACAUACCAAUUUGGUUUUGUAGCUUCUCUUGGAAAAUCUGAAUGUCUGGCUAUUUUGUGCCAGCAUUUGCACGUGAUAGCUGGAGCUGGUGUUUGCAAGCUUAGGCAGGGACAGUCCCUAUCCUAUUUGCUGCACCUCUGACCACUCUUUAUUAUUUCCCUGAAACUCAGAUCAAGUGUCAGUUACCAUUUAUCCUUGUCAUUGUACUAUUGGUUUUUUUUUUUCGUGGUAGAGUGAAAUAAUUUUUUCUUUCUGUGUCCCUGUGAUCUUAACACAGUGUAGAAACCACCAAUGCUUCUUUCUCGCAGCCUGUGCUGCUGGAAAUAUUCCCCCGUCUCAUAGCCAUCAUAAGUAAAGGACACCUUCCACUGCGACAUGCUGCAUGCUGUUAAAGCCCUUCGAUGCCAGCCAAAUGUUACACCGUGCCUUCCAGGAUAUCUUUAAUUAAACCCUUAUAUAUGCAUUUAUAACCAUCUGAUGAGGGGAUUAAUAUUACUUGUGCUUAACAAAUGUGUUAAUUGAGAAAGGAAAAAGAAUACAAAAUAAACAUUUUUAAGUACCUUCCCUAUCGUAGUCACUGGGCUAAGUUCACAGCCACCUUGCCAGGCAGAAGUUACCAUCCCCAUUUAUGAUUGGGAACUGAAACUUGAGGCACUUUUGGGAAACUCUUCAACUGAUUAUUCGAUCGUGUGAAACUGAAGCCCAUGUGCAACAUCAGCUGCCUCCCUGAGUUUCACAGUGAAAUGUGAAAUAUUUAAGAUCCUCAGUGAAUAUUGUUGAAUGUGAAAGAUAUUUACUAAAUUGUAAUCAGUUUCUCAAACUAUGUUCUUUAUACUACAAGGUAACUGGAUUAAAAUGGACUUUCCAUAGGUACCUCAUUCUUAGCUCGACCCCAAAUAAACUUGGGAUCUCCUCCUAAAAUUGUCCCCACUUCAGUGUUCCCAUCUCACAUGCUCCAGCCAGAAUUGCAGGAGUUUCCCUUGAGCCCCAUUUCCCUUUCUCUUUCCAUGUUUUAUCAGGCAAAAAAGUAUCACGAUUACCUACGAAGCAUCACUGCCAAUUGCAGGGGUGCCUGAGAGAGCAGCAGGACAGAGCCCAGUGCAGCCCCACAAUUCAGACCUGACACCUGUGGAAGGAGAUGUGUGUAUUGGGGCAGGGGAUGAAAUGGAGCAAGAUGGGGACAGGAGAGCUUCAGACUGUGAUGCAGAUCAGUUCUAUGUGGUCAAUAAGUAAAUCUGCAUAUUAUCAUUAUAUUACAAUACACUAGCCACUGGAGAUGCAGUGGGAUAUACCACCUUAUGUAAUGAUAAUAAGGGACACCCAACAAAUAGCUGAUGACUCACUAAAAUGAGCAGUACAAAUUUUAUUUUGUUUAUCAAAUGUUUCUUCUCUCAGAA